rnacentral:rRNA from 1 species
UGAAGCCAAGCUUGCUUGGUGGAUCAGUGGCGAACGGGUGAGUAACACGUGAGCAACCUGCCCUGGACUCUGGGAUAAGCGCUGGAAACGGCGUCUAAUACUGGAUAUGAGACGUGAUCGCAUGGUCGUGUUUGGAAAGAUUUUUCGGUCUGGGAUGGGCUCGCGGCCUAUCAGCUUGUUGGUGAGGUAAUGGCUCACCAAGGCGUCGACGGGUAGCCGGCCUGAGAGGGUGACCGGCCACACUGGGACUGAGACACGGCCCAGACUCCUACGGGAGGCAGCAGUGGGGAAUAUUGCACAAUGGGCGAAAGCCUGAUGCAGCAACGCCGCGUGAGGGAUGACGGCCUUCGGGUUGUAAACCUCUUUUAGCAGGGAAGAAGCGAAAGUGACGGUACCUGCAGAAAAAGCGCCGGCUAACUACGUGCCAGCAGCCGCGGUAAUACGUAGGGCGCAAGCGUUAUCCGGAAUUAUUGGGCGUAAAGAGCUCGUAGGCGGUUUGUCGCGUCUGCUGUGAAAUCCCGAGGCUCAACCUCGGGCCUGCAGUGGGUACGGGCAGACUAGAGUGCGGUAGGGGAGAUUGGAAUUCCUGGUGUAGCGGUGGAAUGCGCAGAUAUCAGGAGGAACACCGAUGGCGAAGGCAGAUCUCUGGGCCGUAACUGACGCUGAGGAGCGAAAGGGUGGGGAGCAAACAGGCUUAGAUACCCUGGUAGUCCACCCCGUAAACGUUGGGAACUAGUUGUGGGGACCAUUCCACGGUUUCCGUGACGCAGCUAACGCAUUAAGUUCCCCGCCUGGGGAGUACGGCCGCAAGGCUAAAACUCAAAGGAAUUGACGGGGACCCGCACAAGCGGCGGAGCAUGCGGAUUAAUUCGAUGCAACGCGAAGAACCUUACCAAGGCUUGACAUAUACGAGAACGGGCCAGAAAUGGUCAACUCUUUGGACACUCGUAAACAGGUGGUGCAUGGUUGUCGUCAGCUCGUGUCGUGAGAUGUUGGGUUAAGUCCCGCAACGAGCGCAACCCUCGUUCUAUGUUGCCAGCACGUAAUGGUGGGAACUCAUGGGAUACUGCCGGGGUCAACUCGGAGGAAGGUGGGGAUGACGUCAAAUCAUCAUGCCCCUUAUGUCUUGGGCUUCACGCAUGCUACAAUGGCCGGUACAAAGGGCUGCAAUACCGUGAGGUGGAGCGAAUCCCAAAAAGCCGGUCCCAGUUCGGAUUGAGGUCUGCAACUCGACCUCAUGAAGUCGGA